rnacentral:rRNA from 1 species
AUUGAACGCUGGCGGCAUGCCUUACACAUGCAAGUCGAACGGCAGCGGACCUUCGGGUGCCGGCGAGUGGCGAACGGGUGAGUAAUAUAUCGGAACGUACCUUUCAGUGGGGGAUAACGUAGCGAAAGUUACGCUAAUACCGCAUAUUCUGUGAGCAGGAAAGCAGGGGAUCGCAAGACCUUGCGCUGAUUGAGCGGCCGAUAUCAGAUUAGCUAGUUGGUGAGGUAAAGGCUCACCAAGGCGACGAUCUGUAGCGGGUCUGAGAGGAUGAUCCGCCACACUGGAACUGAGACACGGUCCAGACUCCUACGGGAGGCAGCAGUGGGGAAUUUUGGACAAUGGGCGCAAGCCUGAUCCAGCCAUGCCGCGUGAG